CAAAUCAACCAGAACCAAGGUGAAUCUCGGCAAAAUCUCAACGGUUUCGAUUGGGAAGACUCGUGAAGGAUGACCGAGAUCCGGCGAAAGAGACCAGGCCAGGACUUCCUGUCAUUCGUCGUCGUCGUCGUUGGGCCUAAAAUUACUUUCUGCUGAUAUCACUUUCAUCAAUCAUUUGGCCGGGGCCCUUUCGCUUUUUGCACACAAGCUCUUAGGCCUGUAAAAAGCACCCUGCCCGGGGACGGACGACGACGGUCAGAAAACGAAAGCCUCUCAAAGUAAGCCAUAAUAAAUCAGAAGAAUUUUGGUCAUUUGGAAAAGGUGAGUUAUAAGCGGCUGCAAGAUGCAAUCAAGCUCCCAUAAAGUUAACGCGCGAGAAAUGCGAAAAUUCCUCAUUUUUUGGUCCACAAAAUUUAUUCCAGCCGGUUGCAAAUCGUCGUCGUCGUCACUGUCAGUCAAUAAACAUUUAUUAAAUCGAAAGACAUUCCGGCUUAACGGCGACUUUUUUUUGCUGUGAACGUGAUGGAGACUGGGAUUCGAAAAACAAAUUUAUAAAUAUCUUUAACUUACACGAGGUAUUUGGGGCUUGAAGUUCAGGCAUCUGGCAGGAAGAAUCAUUUGGCUACCGUGAAAUUUAAGCCUCGAUACGACCAUUGGCGGCCAACUGGGUGAAUAUCAUGUUCGAAAAAGAUUUACCAGGAAAAAUUGACCAAAAAUC